UACAGAGGUCCCAAGCGUUGUUCGGAUUCAUUGGGCGUAAAGGGUGCGUAGGUGGCGGGGUAAGUUGGAUGUGAAAUCCUGGGGCUCAACCCUAGAACUGCAUUCAAUACUGCCUUGCUGGAGUACUGGAGAGGAGAUUGGAAUUUACGGUGUAGCAGUUGAAAUGCGUAGAUAUCGUAAGGAAGACCGGUGGCGAAGGCGGAUCUCUGGACAGUUACUGACACUGAGGCGCGAAGGCCAGGGGAGCAAACGGG
rnacentral:rRNA from 1 species